UAUUCCCACCAAGUGUUAGCAUAGCCUUGAAAAUGAGCUAUGGCAUAACAACUCUUCUUCUCCUCCGAGAUAUCAUUCACUUGAAAUACUUUAUCACACGCCGACUCCCAAGCAAGAUACACCUCGGGGUCACUUUCACCCUUAAAGAUAGGUAGGCUCAAUUUGAUGGUAUUGAUGCCUACGUCUCUCUCUAGGUGUCGGUUUCCCCUUUCUCCAUACCCUCGGUAUCUCCUUAGAUCCACACGACCUUCUCU
rnacentral:lncRNA from 1 species